CACUAAAUUAAAGCAGGAAUUUCAAUAAACUUAAUAUUUUAUCAAAUAAUUAUUCAAAAUGAGUGACUCUACAGCAAAGCUCUAUUAUUUAGAGUUUUUAUGUGGAUACUUUUUGGAACCAAAAGACAUCAUGGACUAUUUUCCUGGCGAAACUGGUCUGUUCACGUCAGUUGGAGAUGAGUUAAUGUCUAUUCCAACAACUGGUGACAAUGGGAGGAAACAAAGAGUCAACAUUUUUCUUGAAUGGCUCAAGAAUGCAGAUGAUGGUUAUAGUGGAAAUAAAUACCAAGAAUUUAUUGAUGUUUUGAAAAAAGAAGAGAGAAAUUACUGUUGGCUUGUUCCUCUGUUGACGGAUUGCACCAAUUUCAAUGCUGAAUCUAUAUUUCGAUAUCUCAAAAAACCUGAAAAGAUCAAAAGGAUUUUUCAAGUGAUUUUCCCUGCACUGGAAAAUAUUAAUGUUAAUGAAAUACUUAUUUAUUUGAAAAGAGAUCUUUCUGAUGAUGACAGAGAAGAAGUUGAAAACAUCACAUCUCGAUUAACUUCUAGGCAUGGAAUGUUUGCCCUAUUAAACAAGCUGAUUUACAAACCACCUGGCUGGAUCAGUAGUUUCAUUAAUGCAGUAAAGGAAUUAAAUUACAAUGUUACUUCUUCUAUGUUUGAUGAUGCUGUUUAUGCGGAUUUAGCCACAGCUUUAAAAGAUUAUUUUGAAUGCUUUGACGACAGUGUAGAAUUUGUAGUUGAAGAACAGCCAGAAGCAAUGAAUGAACAGAUGGCAUGUAUUCACCAAGGAGCAAUGAGUUCCUUUGUAUCUGACGCAAAUGUUCCGUCGUGUAGUUUGAUGAAAAGAAAACAAAAUGAUGAAAAAGAGAAUUUUCAAAAAGGUUUUUGGCUUCCUGAACAACAACAUGUUGAAAUACCAGCCCAACCAGCAUCUAUGCAAUAUGAGCUUCGCAAUUAUCAAAAAGAGUUGUCUAAGUUAGCAUUGAAUGGCGCAAAUGUUAUAAUAAGCGAAAGAACUGGAUCAGGAAAAACCAGAGUUGCUGCUUAUAUAAUAGGAGAACACCUUAAAGGAAAUGUUACUAAAGUUGGUCAAUGUAAAGAACAAAAAGUUGCCUUUUUUACACCAACUGGAGGACUUGCAGAGCAACAAUGUGGUAAAAUGAAAGACUAUCUUCGCAACAUAAAGAGGAUUGACAUGCUUCGUGGAAAACUUGAGGAUGAGUUGGAGAAAGAUUUUCAAAAGCGAAUUUACAGUUCUGACUUGAUUGUGAUGACUCCACAGAUACUGCUGAAUUGUCUGGAAGAUAAAUCAGUGAAAUCAUUGUUUGAUUUUUCGAUGAUGAUAUUUGAUGAAUGUCACUAUGUACAUGCUUCCCAUCCUUAUGCUGAAAUACUCGGAAGAUAUUUGAUUGAAAAAAAGCCUACAGAAAAAAACAUUCAGAUCAUUGGAUUAACUGCAACCCUUGGAGUUGGUGCUUCAGCUAAUAUUGAUGACGCUAAGGAUCAUAUUUUCAAGUUGCUUGGUAUCAUGGAUGCAGAGGAUGGAAUAGUAUUUGUGAAAGAUCCUGAUAAUGUAGAUGAAUUGAAUAUUGUUUGUCAUGCUGCAUCAGAAGAAUCUAUUCAAAUAGAUAUUGAAGAUGAUGAUGGUCUUUUCAGACAGCUUAUCAGAGAAACAAUGACCCAGAUAAUUUUUUUGAUUGAAAAACUUGGUGUGUUCGAAGCUCUUGGAGGAACAGUUCCACGAAAAAUGGGAACUAUGACUACAUUGGAUAAAGAGUUUGAAACUUGGUGCUUUAAACUUCGUCACGCAUCUGGAAAUUUAAGUGCUGAAGACUCUAAGGGACUCGGAAGAGAUUCAAGAUCGUGUGCCGAUGCUUUGCAGUGUCUAUACAGUGCAUACACCCUUUGCUACAACUGUCAUUCUACUUAUGCAAUUGCUAAGAUUGAAGAUUUUGUUGAAAAACAUUACAUUGCUGAAAAGGAAAAGAAUACAACUGCAGAGAAUAAUCUGCAUGAAUUGAUAUCUGAUGCUUCGAAUAAACUGGUCAAUUGUGUUGAUGGAACGAAAAAUAAAACAUUGGAUAUCAUGAAAGAAAAAAUAAUUACAAAGUCUCAAAAUUAUGAUGAAUUUAGAUGUAUGGUUAUGGUUUCCAGGAGAUACUUUGCUGGUUGUCUCAAGAAUUGGAUUAGUGGAGAUUCAGAGCUAAGACAUCUCAAACCUCUGGUUUAUAUCGGAAUUGGAAAUAAAAGUUCAAGUGAUUACUCAGGUAUGAGUCACUCAGCUCAAAAUGCAGCCCUUCAAAAAUUUAAAAAAGGUGAUUGCAAGGUACUUGUCUGUACCCCCGAUGCUGCUGGGGUAGGAAUAGAUAUUCCAGAUUGCAACCUGGUUAUAACAAUUGACUGUGUGAAAAACGAAAUAUCCAAAGCACAACUUGCAGGUCGUGUCAGAGCAAAAAAUGGGGAGGUUCUCAAUAUUUACUUUGGAAAUAAUAUUCAAAAAGAUAAACUCAGCGGAGAGAAACUGCAGCUCAUGGACAAGGCUAAAAGACAGAUUCACAAAAUGCUGAACAAAAAUCCUGAUGAUUAUAGGAAUAAAAUGCUUUAUGGACAAAAAAUGGCAUUAGAUGAUUUGGCAAAAUCUGGAAUCAAAAGGCAAGGCACAAGUCCUUUACGAGUUGGAGGAGUAAAUUUAUUGUUGUGUCGCAAAUGUAGUGUAUUUGUCUGUUACACUUAUGAAAUAAUCAGAAUGAAUGAAUAUCACCACACAGUUGAUCGCAUUGAUUUCAAGGAUAAGUAUGCAAAAGUCCCACACCCAUACAGAGGAAUUAAAAUUGGGGAUGAAUAUAUGACACAUUUCAACAAAAUUCGCUGUGAUAAGUGUAAGCUUAACUGGGGAAAUGAGGUGAAGUGGAAAAAUUACCUGAUGCCAAUUAUCACGAUCAAGGGUUUUAAAAUUAAGGAGCAGAAUACGGAAAACAUUUUUCAGCCAAGAAAAUGGAAAGCAACACUUCUGAAAAUUCCUGAAAAAAGCAGAGACAAGUCUCUUUAUGAUAAACUAUUCACCAAGUGCAACGAAAGUGAAGAUUCUCCUAACAGCCCUGAGUUGAUUCGUUAAUAUGUCCACUGUGAUAAACAAUAUUAUCACACUUGACUUUUUUUAUUAUUUCAACAUUCCAUAAUAAUUUUAUAUAAUUAUAUUCUUCAUGAGUUUGAAUCUUGUAUUUGCCUACUUUAUGUAUUACCAUAAUAAUUCCAUCUUCUGCCAGCGUGUAUUUCUGGGAAUGCUGAAAAACAUUAUUUCCAUUGUAAUUUAAUUUUAAUGAUAUCACUUUAUAUUGAUUUAAGUUAUUUAAAAAGUAAGAUAUAUUAUGCAUAAUGUACGAGUAUGCUGAAACCGUUUCAAUGAUUUCACUAGUCUUGAUGACUCUCGGCAUUUGGUAUCAGGUAAUAUGUUGAAAUGGAUAUCAGCUGGAAUUUCUACUAAAGGAAAUUGAAAUACAUAUGUUCUAUUGUUUCCUGUUUUAGUAAUCAAUUCAUUUGAUAUAAGAAGAAGCGAUACCGAAUGUCAGAAAUAAUUCAGUAUCUUUCUAGACAAUAGAUUUAUUGUAUUUGUUUUUUGAACGUCGUGUUAUUUUUGCCAAGUUGUAUACUUCAUCAUUACUGUAUGUUUGUGUAUACUAAUUUAAUCAAGUAUGUGACUAAAUUUGUCAUAUCUAAAAUAUUUGACUCUGUUUGUAUUAAUGGAAAAUCGAAGACACGAUGGUUCGUUCACAAAAGACUAAGAUCCAGUACUACUCCCAUCCAAAGACGAAGAAAACAAUGUUCUGGAUAUGUGACUCAUGAAUUAUUUGAAUUUAUAUCAUAUGUUAUUUUUUUUUACGAAAAAGCUGAUGAUAACUAGAUGCCUUCUGUGUUUAAAAGUAUAUAAACAUCAUACCAUAAUAAGAACCUACUUUGAUAAUUGAAUCUUUUUGAAAGUACGCCUUUUUAUACCCAGGAAUAUCAGAUUUAGUAGUCUUUUUCACAAGUAACCAGUUUACCAAUAUUGCAAUUGAUGGAGUUUAGGUAUACGGUAUAUUAUAUCAUGUCAAUGAAAUUUAACUGCUUUGUGACAUUACAAACUAGUUGAAGGCUUUUCAGCAUGAAA